rnacentral:rRNA from 1 species
ACUCCUACGGGAGGCAGCAGUGGGGAAUUUUGGACAAUGGGCGAAAGCCUGAUCCAGCCAUGCCGCGUGCAGGAUGAAGGCCUUCGGGUUGUAAACUGCUUAUGUACGGAACGAAAAGGUUUGGCCUAAUAAGCUGAGCUCAUGACGGUACCGUAAGAAUAAGCACCGGCUAACUACGUGCCAGCAGCCGCGGUAAU